rnacentral:tRNA from 1 species
GCACUGAUGGUCCAGUGGUAGAAUUCUCACCUUCUAUGUGUGAGACCUGGGUUUGAUUCCUGGCUAGUGCA